AUUGAACGCUGGCGGCAGGCUUAACACAUGCAAGUAGAACGAGUGGCGGACGGGUGAGUAAUGCUUGGGAAUCUAGCUUAUGGAGGGGGAUAAAUACGGGAAACUGUAGCUAAUACCGCGUACCAUAGGCUUAGCCCAAGUGGGAUUAGGUAGUUGGUGAGGUAAAGGCUCACCAAGCCGACGAUCUCUAGCUGGUCUGAGAGGAUGAUCAGCCACACUGUGACUGAGACACGGCCCAGACUCCGAAGGGAGGCAGCAGUGGGGAAUAGUACACAAUGGGCGAAAGCCUGAUGCAGCCAUGCCGCGUGUAUGAAGAAGGCCUUAGGGUUGUAAAAUACUUUCAGUGGUGAGGCGUUACCCGCAGAAUAAGCACCGGCUAACUCCGUGCCAGCAGCCGCGGUAAUUC
rnacentral:rRNA from 1 species